rnacentral:rRNA from 1 species
GACGAACGCUGGCGGCGUGCCUAAUACAUGCAAGUAGGACGCAGUUGCGAACGGGAGAGUAACGAGAAGGUCACUACAUAUUAGAGGGGGCUAACUAUUGGAAACGAUAGCUAAUACCGCAUACCAGUAGAUGGACCUGCGUUGUAUUAGUUAGUAGGUAGGGUAAUGGCCUACCUAGGCAACGAUACAUAGCCGCGAUGAGAGGGGUGUCGGCCACACUGGGAAUGGGACACGGCCCCGGAUCCCACGGGAGGCAGCAGGUGGGAAUCUUCGGCAAUGGGGGGAACGCUGACUGGGCAACGCCGGGUUGUUGAAGAAGGUUUUCGGAUCGUAAAGGUCUUUUGUGAAGGAACCGGUACUUAACCAGGAAGGGACGGCUAACUACGUGCCAGCCGCCGCGGUAAUUC